GUGCAACUAGGUACAAACUUCCAUCACCUUUACGGUGAAACUGCUUCUGGGCUGAAUGUUCCCAGCACAAUGAGACUUGAGCUGAUUAACUCCUUAAGCAGAAAAACCGUCAUAAGACGUGGUACAGAAAGAGUUCUGCCUAAGUUACUUUGGUAACUAAAGAAUACCAGAAAUCUCACAGACUCAGUACCAAGGCUGAAGAAGCAAGUUUGAAAAUGGACCAAAAGCAAUGGAAGCCAAGUAACUGAAACUUCAGUUGAAAUCAUGCCAUCUGAUGAAUCUGGUGAAAAUGCCACUUCCUCUAC